GUGGGGAAUAUUGGACAAUGGGCGAAAGCCUGAUCCAGCCAUGCCGCGUGUGUGAAGAAGGUCUUCGGAUUGUAAAGCACUUUAAGUUGGGAGGAAGGGCAGUAAGUUAAUACCUUGCUGUUUUGACGUUACCGACAGAAUAAGCACCGGCUAACUUCGUGCCAGCAGCCGCGGUAAUACGAAGGGUGCAAGCGUUAAUCGGAAUUACUGGGCGUAAAGCGCGCGUAGGUGGUUUUGUAAGUUGGAGGUGAAAUCCCCGGGCUCAACCUGGGAACUGACUCCAAAACUGCAUGACUAGAGUACGGUAGAGGGUAGUGGAAUUUCCUGUGUAGCGGUGAAAUGCGUAGAUAUAGGAAGGAACACCAGUGGCGAAGGCGACUACCUGGACUGAUACUGACACUGAGGUGCGAAAGCGUGGGGAGCAAACAGGAUUAGAAACCCGUGUAGUCC
rnacentral:rRNA from 1 species